UACGAAGGGGGCUAGCGUUACUCGGAAUCACUGGGCGUAAAGCGCACGUAGGCAGCUUCUUAAGUCAGGGGUGAAAUCCUGGGGCUCAAUCCCAGAACUGCCCUUGAUACUGAGGAGCUUGAGUCCGGGAGAGGUGAGUGGAUCUCCGAGUGUAGAGGUGAAAUUCGUAGAUAUUCGGAAGAACACCAGUGGCGAAGGCGGCUCACUGGCCCGGUACUGACGCUGAGGUGCGAAAGCGUGGGGAGCAAACAGG
rnacentral:rRNA from 1 species